GUGCGCGUGGUGCAAAGUUUGAAGAUGUCGGCCAGUGGAAGCGGCCUUGGUACUUCCCCAGUAAUAAUGAAGAGACGAUGCACGAUGCGGUCGUACGCGAGUGUCGUGCUGUGCGCG
rnacentral:tRNA from 1 species